AUGCCGGAAGUGAGAAUUGGAUAAAACUAAAUUAAUGGUUAUUUUUAUUACGAGCGGCGUUCAAUUUAGUUUUCUCCAAUAUCUCACAUCCGACCU
rnacentral:pre_miRNA from 1 species